CCUACGGGAGGCAGCAGUGGGGAAUUUUGGACAAUGGGCGCAAGCCUGAUCCAGCAAUGCCGCGUGCAGGAUGAAGGCCUUCGGGUUGUAAACUGCUUUUGUACGGAACGAAACGGUCCUUUCUAAUACAAGGGGCUAAUGACGGUACCGUAAGAAUAAGCACCGGCUAACUACGUGCCAGCAGCCGCGGUAAUACGUAGGGUGCGAGCGUUAAUCGGAAUUACUGGGCGUAAAGCGUGCGCAGGCGGUUAUAUAAGACAGAUGUGAAAUCCCCGGGCUCAACCUGGGACCUGCAUUUGUGACUGUAUAGCUAGAGUACGGUAGAGGGGGAUGGAAUUCCGCGUGUAGCAGUGAAAUGCGUAGAUAUGCGGAGGAACACCGAUGGCGAAGGCAAUCCCCUGGACCUGUACUGACGCUCAUGCACGAAAGCGUGGGGAGCAAACAGGAUUAGAUACCCUGGUAGUCCACGCCCUAAACGAUGUCAACUGGUUGUUGGGUCUUCACUGACUCAGUAACGAAGCUAACGCGUGAAGUUGACCGCCUGGGGAGUACGGCCGCAAGGUUGAAACUCAAAUGAAAUUGACCGGNNGAGAGNGCGAGACGACGACGAGGGAGGAGG
rnacentral:rRNA from 1 species